UCGAGAAUCUUCCUCAAUGCCCGCAAGGGUGAAGGAGCGACGUCGCGUGACCGAAGAAGCUUUUCGGAGUGUAAAGGUCUUUUAUCAGGGACGAACUAAUGACGGUACCUGAAGAAUAAGGGGCGGCUAACUUCGUGCCAGAAGCCUCGGUAACACGAAGGCCCCGAGCGUUAUCCGGAUUUAUUGGGCAUAAAGGGUCCGCAGGCGGUUUAUUAAGUCAGCAGUGAAAUACCUAAGCUUAACUUAGGAGACGCUGCUGAAACUAAUAAACUUGAGUCUGGGAAAGGCAAGCGGAAUUGCCGGUGUAGCGGUUAAAUGCGUUAAUAUCGGCAGGAACACCAAAUGCGAAGGCAGCUUGCUAGAACAGUACUGACGCUCAUGGACGAAAGCGUGGGUAGCGAAUG
rnacentral:rRNA from 1 species